CCUACGGGAGGCAGCAGUGGGGAAUAUUGGGCAAUGGACGCAAGUCUGACCCAGCAACGCCGCGUGAAGGAAGAAGGCUUUCGGGUUGUAAACUUCUUUGACAGGGGAAGAGUAGAAGACGGUACCCUGAAAACAAGCCACGGCUAACUACGUGCCAGCAGCCGCGGUAAUACGUAGGUGGCAAGCGUUGUCCGGAUUUACUGGGUGUAAAGGGCGUGCAGCCGGGCUGACAAGUCAGAUGUGAAAACCAGGGGCUCAACCUCUGGACUGCAUUUGAAACUGUUGGUCUUGAGUAUCGGAGAGGUAACCGGAAUUCCUAGUGUAGCGGUGAAAUGCGUAGAUAUUAGGAAGAACAUCAGUGGCGAAGGCGGGUUACUGGACGACAACUGACGGUGAGGCGCGAAAGCGUGGGGAGCAAACAGGAUUAGAUACCCCAGUAGUC
rnacentral:rRNA from 1 species